GACGAACGCUGGCGGCGUGCUUAACACAUGCAAGUCGAGCGGUAAGGCCCUUUCGGGGGUACACGAGCGGCGAACGGGUGAGUAACACGUGGGUGACCUGCCCUCAGCUCUGGGAUAAGCCUGGGAAACCGGGUCUAAUACUGGAUAUGACUCCAUGACGCAUGUUGUGGGGUGGAAAGCCUUGUGCGGCUGAGGAUGGGCCCGCGGCCUAUCAGCUUGUUGGUGGGGUGANGGCCUACCAAGGCGACGACGGGUAGCCGGCCUGAGAGGGCGACCGGCCACACUGGGACUGAGACACGGCCCAGACUCCUACGGGAGGCAGCAGUGGGGAAUCUUGCGCAAUGGUCGAAAGCCUGACGCAGCGACGCCGCGUGAGGGAUGACGGCCUCGG
rnacentral:rRNA from 1 species